GACGAACCAAGCAAACGUUGUUCGGAAUCACUGGGCUUAAAGGGCGCGUAGGCGGUCGGUCAAGUCCGGAGUGAAAUCUUUCGGCUCAACCGGAAAAGUGCUUUGGAUACUGAUUGGCUAGAAGGGGGUAGGGGUUGCGGGAACAGCCAGUGGAGCGGUGAAAUGCGUUGAUAUUGGCUGGAACGCCGGUGGCGAAAGCGCGCAACUGGACCCCUCUUGACGCUGAGGCGCGAAAGCCAGGGUAGCGAACGGGAUUAGAUACCCCGGUAGUCCUGGCCCUAAACGAUGGGUACUGGGUUGGGAGCGUGACAUGCGCCCUCAACCGAAGUUAAAAUGUUUAGUACCCCGCCUGGGGAGUAUGGUCGCAAGGCUGAA
rnacentral:rRNA from 1 species